AUGAAUCAGAAGCUCCAUAUUUUCCCGACUCAUAACUGGGAUUCUGUAGCUGACAGAAGUUCCCAACCACUGCUGGUUUCUGUUAGGAGUGUUUCCCUCUCCCCCCCCCUGUCUGUGUCUCGUCUGUGUUUCCACUGUCGGUUUAUUUCCAGGCUGGGCGGAGCGGCUUCCAGACUCCCCCCGUCCGGCGAUCGAUGCACACCUGGAACCCAUCUCCAGCCAAUCACCCACACCUGCCAUCCGUUUUAUAAGCCUGGUCCACAUCUAAUUAUUCACCAAUUUGUUGUUAACCCCCCUGUGAUCGCCCUUCUUGGAUUCCUGUUUGUGCCACCCAGCUUGCUCCUGUUGGAUCGUGUUUCUUCUGCUGCCUGCACCUCUUGGUUUCUGCCUUAAACCUUUCACAGUUAAAGAACCUUUACUCCAACUCCAGCCAUUCAAAAGAAUAAACUGCAUCUACCUUCCAGCUGCUGUCCACCCAGCUCUGUGAGGACGGUUGCAGACUUGAAACAUUCUGUUGAUGCUGCUUUCUGAAUUCUGAGUGAUAAUAUAAUAAACAUGCAGAAUAAUUUAUGCAACCAGGUUGGACUUGGUGAUUGUGUGUGACAUAUAUGUGUGUUUUAUAUAUUUAUAUGUGCCAAAUCAAGAUAAUGACAAAAUUCAAAUAAAGUUAAAUUAGGAGGAUUCACAGUGGAGCAUUUUUGGUUGGUCACGUCAGUGGAAGCUACUCUACGGACCAGCACAUCAAAGAUUUCUACUAAUCCUCCUUCUAUCCCCAGGCUGCACACAGCCAGGCUGGAGAGCUUUUUCAUGGAUUAGAAGAUGCCCCCUUAUCCCCCUUGUCUGACUCUGGUGGUUUCAGGGGUUGCUGUCAGGUCAGGUCAUGGAUGGGUUUUCUUCUCUGGUCACAGACAUUUAACUUUCUCCAUUCUUUUAAGUCAUUAAGUGUGUUUUUAAUAUUUACAUUAGUGUUCAUACAAUUAUUGGCUUAUAGCGAGAACUUGAAGAGACAUUCUUUAUGUUUCAGGUUCAUGCUGUGAAUAAACCAGAGGAGGAAAAGAUUAUCCCUGGUGUCAUGGUUGGUGGCCAGGAGGAAUCUGACGAAGGUUUUAGGACACACUUCAAAAGUGGAGACUAGAGCCGGAGUAUUGGAGCGCCCCGAUCAGGCAGCGCUGUGGACACCUGUCUCACCAGGUAUAUGGAAAAGCAUUAAGAUAGGUUGAGCCAUGGACUGCAAAGCUCAGGUUCCUUUAUCUAACUUUGGCAUCCCACUGGUAAUGUGAUGGUGAUUAUAUGUCAUACAGUGUGUUUGCAUGUGCUCCAUAUAUAAUAAUUUACAUUUAUUAUCCUGCCCACUGCAAGAACAGUGUAGAAUAGAAAGGCCUUACAAAAAGCAUUAGCAUCGAAGAACCACUGCAACUGAGGAGGCAAAAUUCUCUACUAGGCCAGAAUUCCUGACAAAAUGUGAGCAAGAUUAUUCCGGGAUGCAUUGACAUGACUCAUGAAUUUUGGUUCCUGGAGCUGUAGCAUCUUAUGUGGUUGUUGCUUACGAUCAUUCUCCCAGUGCUGCCAUUUCACCUGUGCACUGUCUCCUAGUGUGAUUCCACAGUCAGCCCUGUUGAAUGAACAAGAAAGCCACAGAUCAGUGCUGUAAUUUUGCUGUUGCUGCUGUUUCUGCCACCUGGUGUUAGAUACUGUCACCCUACUGUUGCAGCUAGACUCUAGCUGCUAGAGUAUACAGUGGUAUGAGAAAGUUUAGGCACCCCCUCUGAGGUUGUGUAAUAAUGGACUCUGACUUCACACAAAAUUAUCUUGGUGGCAUGUCCUUCAUUUGCCCAUAAGUGCCAAGUGUUAGCUUGAUUUCCAAACACAGAUUUUAAGUAUUCAUAGUAUGCAAUUGUAUGAAAUUAAAUCAAAUGUAUAAAAUAGGCUGUGCAAAAAUGUGGGAACCCUUGUCAUUUUUUCUGCUUUGAUGGCCUGCAACUUAUCAUCACAAGAUAAUUGGACACACAAAGUUGGUUUGGUGAGCUCGUUAAGCCUUGAACUUAAUCGACAGUUGCAUCCAAUAAUGUCAA
ensembl:lncRNA